rnacentral:rRNA from 1 species
UACGAAGGGGGCUAGCGUUGCUCGGAAUCACUGGGCGUAAAGGGUGCGUAGGCGGAUUUCUAAGUCAGGGUGAAAUCCUGGAGCUCAACUCCAGAACUGCCUUGAUACUGGCGAUCUCGAGUCCGGGAGAGGUGAGUGGAACUGCGAGUGUAGAGGUGAAAUUCGUAGAUAUUCGCAAGAACACCAGUGGCGAAGGCGGCUCACUGGCCCGGUACUGACGCUGAGGUGCGAAAGCGUGGGAGCA